ACGCCAUUCCCCCUCUCCGCCUCCACGCCUCCCGAGCCCAACAAAACCCUAGCUCCGGCGCCGCCACCUCGCCGUCCGGCUCCUCCCGCCUCCAGCAGCAGCAGCAGCAAAUGGCCCGCCCCUCCGCCGCCGUCGUGAUCGCCGCCUUCGUGGCCUUGGCCGCGCUGGCCACCGCGGCCUCCGCCGCCGAUUUGGCGCCGGCCCCCGCCCCGACCUCCGGCGCCGGCGCCCUCUCGGCGCCGCUCUCCGCUGUCUGCCUGGCCGGGCUCCUCGCCGCCUUCCUCCGCCACUGAGCCGGCGGCGGCCGCCUCGCCCGCGUGCGCGUGUCUUCGUCGGAUCUAGUAGUACAGUGGUAGUGAGAGUCUUAUUAGUGGUAGUAGCAGUAUUGUAGUGGUUGUGAUAGUGCCAUGGAGGGAGAGGCAUUUGUUUUGGUGGUCCGCCGGGCGGAUGGAUCUGAGGGUUUCGUGUGGGGAUUUUGAGAGGUUUUUGAGGGUGGAUUUGAUUAGCGUGGUUGGUGUGAGUCUAUUCCUAUUAUUUAGUCGCGUCUUGUGUACCUAGUGCUCACUGGCUCUGAGAGUAUUAUUAUUAUUGUUAUGGAUUUAUGAUAUUAUUAUUAUUGUUAUAUUAUU
rnacentral:lncRNA from 1 species